CAGCCGCCACGGUAAUACGGAGGGUGCAAGCGUUAAUCGGAAUUACUGGGCGUAAAGCGCACGCAGGCGGUCUGUCAAGUCAGAUGUGAAAUCCCCGGGCUUAACCUGGGAACUGCAUUUGAAACUGGCAGGCUAGAGUCUUGUAGAGGGGGAUGGAAUUCCGCGUGUAGCAGUGAAAUGCGUAGAUAUGCGGAGGAACACCGAUGGCGAAGGCAAUCCCCUGGGCCUGUACUGACGCUCAUGCACGAAAGCGUGGGGAGCAAACAGGAUUAGAUACCCCUGUAGUCCCUGUCUCUUAUAC
rnacentral:rRNA from 1 species